rnacentral:misc_RNA from 1 species
UACGGAGGGGGCAAGCGUUAUUCGGAUUAACUGGGCGUAAAGGGUGCGUAGGCGGCGCUGCAAGUCUGGUGUGAAAUCUUCACCGCUCAACGGGAAGAGGCCGCUGGAAACUGCAGUGCUGGAGACGGACAGAGGCUGGCGGAAUGCCGGGUGUAGCGGUGGAAUGUGUAGAGAUCCGGCAGAACACCGGUGGCGAAGGCGGCCGGCUGGGUCCGAUCUGACGCUGAGGCACGAAAGCGUGGGGAGCAAACGGG